GAGAUUGGUCUCGAGCCCUUCUGCUGGAUCUUGUUUAAUCUGCAGGAGGCCUCUGCAGCUCUGAGGAACUUCAGUGCAUCACUUCAUCAGGCUGGAAUCCCGAAACGUUGGUAUUUCUACCGCUUCCCGAAGAGCUCACAUCCUCUGGUUUUGCGCACGAGAAACCUGCAGAUGAUUUCCACCUUAGGCUAGAGUCGGCUGCAGUCGAGCUGUAUUCCCUUUUCAAGCUUUCACCAGCCAAGAGUGGAACCAAUCCAUUCAGCACACAUUUCUGGUAACAUAAUUAGCUAACUGAGCUCCUUUGUCUCCUUAACUCUGAAAUGUUACACUUCCCUUCCCAACCACUUAAAUGGAUGCAAAAUUAAGUUGUCUUUGGGGUUGUUCUCGUGUCGGCACGCUGUUUGCUCAGAAAGCUUAUCUGCAGCGCCAGGACAAUCUGCCACUUAAAAUGCAACAGCUGGGGAUAUCUUAUUUCUCUCAUGCUUGCUCUGAAAGCAGAGGUGUUCUUAAUUAUUUUUUAAAAGGCUCUAAAGCAAUUAAAAGAGUGACAGGAGAUGUGGUAUAUUACCAGUGCCAAAUAUGAUUCAGACAAACUGUCACUAGAAAACGUCUUUGGUGACAAUUCGAAGGCCUCCAAAGUCUAUUAUUAAAGCCAGUUGGUUUUUUGUUUUCUUUUUUUUUUUUUUAUCCCCCCCCACUGACAGCUACGGUGCUAAACAUCAUCUCGGAUCUAGCAAACUACAGGUUACUGCGGAGGGCUCCAUCGUGCUUUAUCCUCUUCUCUGGCACUGGGCACUCGUGGGAUAUCGAGGCAGCAGCUGGCGUCAGCCCGCGCGAAGCAGCACGGGCGCCGGGCAGGCGAUUUCCUCGGGCAUGGCUGGGCGGAAGGAGCGCGUGAAUUUCUCCUGGUGGUCAUCCCAGCCGUCCCCAGCUUGCAGAGCCAUCCGCCAGGGAGCCCAUCCGGCGUCGCGCUGCUCAGCUUCGGCAUCAGCUCGGCUCCGGCCAGGGAAGCAGACGGCCAAACGGACAACCUCCGGCCCCGAGCCAUUUGAAGCACAUUGCACAAAGAAACUAGAGAGGCGACUUGAAGGAAAAGUUGGCCACGUGCAUUUGAAAACCAGCUUGUGAAAGGGCCUAGCAACACAGCCAGAGCGGCUCUUGACAGCGGCUGGAUUAGCAAAGGGUCUCUAUCACUGUUACAGGUUUUGAACACGCCGCACAUCAAAGGAAGGCAAGAAAUGAUAAGAGCCCCCCCUUAGAGCCAGCCUGCUCUCCGCUACCAAAACCAGGCUGCAGGCAGGAGUGAUGCACCCCUCUUUUUCCAUUUAACGUGUCACCAUUUACGCUGGUUUUUCCAUUUGUAAUGUACUGUAACCGUUCGCGGUGCUCAGUGUGAGAACACGUUAUGACUAUUAAUAGCCACCAAAUACAAUAAAUCCCUAUUACCUGCCGUUCCGGGGAGACA
rnacentral:lncRNA from 1 species